CUUCGGGUAAUGAGGAUGGCGGACGGGUGAGUAACGCGUAAGGAACUUGCCUCUUGGACUGGGACAACUGUUGGAAACGACAGCUAAUACCGGAUAUUAUGAGAUUCUCGCAUGAGAAAUUUAUGAAAGCUAUAUGCGCCAAGAGAGAGCCUUGCGUUCCAUUAGCUAGUUGGUGGGGUAACGGCCCACCAAGGCGACGAUGGAUAGCCGGCCUGAGAGGGUGAACGGCCACAAGGGGACUGAGACACGGCCCUUACUCCUACGGGAGGCAGCAGUGGGGAAUAUUGGACAAUGGGCCACAAGCCUGAUCCAGCAAUUCUGUGUGCACGAUGAAGGUCUUCGGAUUGUAAAGUGCUUUCAGUUGGGAAGAAGAAAGUGACGGUACCAACAGAAGAAGCGACGGCUAAAUACGUGCCAGCAGCCGCGGUAAUACGUAUGUCGCAAGCGUUAUCCGGAUUUAUUGGGCGUAAAGCGCGUCUAGGCGGAAAAAUAAGUCUGAUGUUAAAAUGCGGGGCUCAACUCCGUAUUGCGUUGGAAACUGUUUUUCUAGAGUACUGGAGAGGUGGGCGGAACUACAAGUGUAGAGGUGAAAUUCGUAGAUAUUUGUAGGAAUGCCGAUGGAGA
rnacentral:rRNA from 1 species